rnacentral:rRNA from 1 species
CAAUAGCGUAUAUUAAAGUUGUUGCAGUUAAAAGCUCGUAGUUGGAUUUGUGGUGUGUCCAGUUGGCCUUUGCUCUUUGAGUGAUAGUGCUUUACUGGUCUGCCAUGUUUGGGUGGAAUCUGUGUGGCAUUAAGUUGUCGUGCAGGGGAUGCCCAUCGUUUACUGUGAAAAAUUAGAGUGUUCAAAGCAGGCUUAUGCCUCUGAAUAUAUUAGCAUGGAAUAAUGAUAUAGGACCUUGGUACUAUUUUGUUGGUUUGCGCACUGAGGUAAUGAUUAAGAGGGACAGUUGGGGGUAUUUGUAUUCCAUUGUCAGAGGUGAAAAUUCUUGGAUUUGUUAAAGACGGACUACUUGCGAAAAGCAUUUUGCCAAGGAUGUUUUCAUUGAUCAAGAACGAAAGUUAGGGGAUCGAAGAUGAUUAGAUACCAU